rnacentral:rRNA from 1 species
UGGGGGAUAUUGCACAAUGGGCGAAAGCCUGAUGCAGCGACGCCGCGUGGGGGAUGAAGGCCUUCGGGUUGUAAACUUCUUUUGCUCUGAACAAGGCAUGCCUUUGGGGUGUGUUGAGUGUAGGGGUUGAUUAGCGCCGGCUAACUACGUGCCAGCAGCCGCGGUAAUACGUAGGGCGCGAGCGUUGUCCGGAAUUAUUGGGCGUAAAGGGCUUGUAGGUGGCUGGUUGCGUCUGUCGUGAAAGCUCAUGGCUUAACUGUGGGUUUGCGGUGGGUACGGGCUGGCUUGAGUGCAGUAGGGGGGGCUGGAAUUCCUGGUGUAGCGGUGGAAUGCGCAGAUAUCAGGAGGAAUACCGGUGGCGAAGGCGGGUCUCUGGGCUGUUACUGACGCUGAGGAGCGAAAGCGGGGGGAGCGAACAGG